UCCCUCUUAGCUCAGUUGGUAGAGCGCGUCACUAGUAUGAAGAUCGCCCUUUACAUCUAUGACGAGGUCAGUCGUUCAAGUCGGCUAGAGGGAA